rnacentral:rRNA from 1 species
GACGAACCACACAAACGUUAUUCGGAAUUACUGGGCUUAAAGGGUGCGUAGGCUGUGCGGCAAGUUAGGUGUGAAAUCCCCCGGCUCAACCGGGGAAUUGCGCUUAAAACUACCGUGCUAGAGGAAUACAGAGGUGAGCGGAACUUCGGGUGGAGCGGUGAAAUGCGUUGAUAUCCGAAGGAACACCGGUGGCGAAAGCGGCUCACUGGGUAUUUUCUGACGCUGAUGCACGAAAGCUAGGGGAGCAAACGGG